GGUGGGGGACGGACAGAGCACACCGCAGGACACGGUUCCCGCUUGGAAGGGGGGUGGGGGACGGACAGAGCACACCGCAGGGCAGGUUUCCCGCUUGGAAGGGGGGGUGGGGGACGGACAGAGCACACCGCAGGGCAGGUUUCCCGCUUGGAAGGGGGGGUGGGGACGGACAGAGCACACCGCAGGACACGGUUCCCGCUUGGAAGGGGGGGUGGGGGACGGACAGAGCACACCGCAGGGCAGGUUUCCCGCUUGGAAGGGGGGGUGGGGGACGGACAGAGCACACCGCAGGGCAGGUUUCCCGCUUGGAAGGGGGGGUGGGGGACGGACAGAGCACACCGCAGGGCAGGUUUCCCGCUUGGAAGGGGGGGUGGGGGACGGACAGAGCACACCGCAGGACACGGUUCCCGCUUGGAA